rnacentral:rRNA from 1 species
GAUCCUGGCUCAGGAUGAACGCUGGCGGCGUGCUUAACACAUGCAAGUCGAACGAAGCAGCUUCUGCUUGCAAGAAAGCUGACUUAGUGGCGGACGGGUGAGUAACGCGUGGGUAACCUGCCUCAUACAGGGGGAUAACAGUUGGAAACGACUGCUAAGACCGCAUAACCCGCUAGUGUCGCAUGACACGGAACGGAAAAUAUUUAAUUUAACGAGUUAAAAUUUGGUAUGAGAUGGGCCCGCGUCUGAUUAGCUAGUUGGUAAGGUAACGGCUUACCAAGGCGACGAUCAGUAGCCGACUUGAGAGAGUGAUCGGCCACAUUGGGACUGAGACACGGCCCAAACUCCUACGGGAGGCAGCAGGUGGGAAUAUUGGACAAUGGGGGAAACCCUGAUCCAGCGAACCGCCGCGUGAGUGAAGAAGUAUUUCGGUAUGUAAAGCUCUAUCAGCAGGGAAGAUAAUGACAGUACCUGACUAAGAAGCCCCGGCCAACUACGUGCCAGCAGCCGC